UUGUAGAGGAUGCUUCGGGCGCGGGCCCGGUCUAAGUCCGUUGGAACACGGCGCCAUGGAGGGUGAGAACCCCGUACGCGACCGGCGCCCAACCCCAACCGUAGCUCCUUCGACGAGUCGAGUUGUUUGGGAAUGCAGCUCAAAAUGGGUGGUAAAUUUCAUCUAAAGCUAAAUACCGGCCAGAGACCGAUAGCGCACAAGUAGAGUGAUCGAAAGAUGAAAAGCACUUUGGAAAGAGAGUCAAACAGUACGUGAAAUUGUUGAAAGGGAAGCGCUUGCGACCAGACCUGUCCGCGGACGAUCAGCCCCCGUUCUCGGGGGUGCACUCGCCCGCGAUCAGGCCAGCAUCGGUUCGGGCGGUCGGAUAAAGGCCGCGGGAACGUAACUCCUCUCGGGGAGCCUUAUAGCCCGCGGCGGCAUGCGGCCAGCCUGGACCGAGGACCGCGCUUCGGCUAGGAUGCUGGCGUAAUGGUUGUAAGCGGCCCGUCUUGAAACACGGACCAAGGAGUCUAACAGCUCUGCGAGUGUUUGGGUGUCAAACCCAUGCGCGGAAUGAAAGUGAACGCAGGUGAGAGCCCUGAAGGGUGCAUCAUCGACCGAUCCUGAUGUCAUCGGAUGGAUUUGAGUAUGAGCAUAGCUGUUGGGACCCGAAAGAUGGUGAACUAUGCCUGAAUAGAGUGAAGCCAGAGGAAACUCUGGUGGAGGCUCGCAGCGGUUCUGACGUGCAAAUCGAUCGUCAAAUUUGGGUAUAGGGGCGAAAGACUAAUCGAACCAUCUAGUAGCUGGUUCCUGCCGAAGUUUCCCUCAGGAUAGCAGUAACGUUUUCAGUUUUAUGAGGUAAAGCGAAUGAUUAGAGGACUUGGGGUUGAAACAACCUUAACCUAUUCUCAAACUUUAAAUAUGUAAGAAGUCCUUGUUGCUUCAUUGAACGUGGACAUUUGAAUGCACCGUUACUAGUGGGCCAUUUUUGGUAAGCAGAACUGGCGAUGCGGGAUGAACCGAACGCGAGGUUAAGGUGCCGGAAUGUACGCUCAUCAGACACCACAAAAAGUGUUAAUUCAUCCAGACAGCCGGACGGUGGCCAUGGAAGUCGGAAACCGCUAAGGAGUGUGUAACAACUCACCGGCCGAAUGAAUUAGCCUUGAAAAUGGAUGGCGCUCAAGCGUGCUACCCAUACCUCGCCGCCGGGGUAGAAA
rnacentral:rRNA from 1 species